rnacentral:rRNA from 1 species
GACGAACGCUGGCGGCGUGCCUAAUACAUGCAAGUCGAGCGAAUGGAAGGGAGCUUGCUCCCUGAAGUUAGCGGCGGACGGGUGAGUAACACGUGGGCAACCUGCCUGUAAGACUGGGAUAACUUCGGGAAACCGGAGCUAAUACCGGAUACGUUCUUUUCUCGCAUGAGGAAAGAUGGAAAGAUGGUUUCGGCUAUCACUUACAGAUGGGCCCGCGGCGCAUUAGCUAGUUGGUGGGGUAAUGGCCCACCAAGGCGACGAUGCGUAGCCGACCUGAGGGGGUGAUCGGCGACAGUGGGACUGAGAGACGGACCAGACUGCUACGGGAGGCAGCAGUAGGGAAUCUGCCGCAAUGGACGAAAGUAUGACGGAGCAACGCCGCGUGAGCGAAGAAGGCCUUCGGGUCGUAAAGCUCUGUUGUCAGGGAAGAACAAGUGCCAGAGUAACUGCUGGCACCUUGACGGUACCUGACCAGAAAGCCACGGCUAACUACGUGCCAGCCGCCGCCGUAAUAC